UGGACUUCAAGUUGAUAAAAUUCUUUUGUUAGCUUUGAAAAUCGAAACAAUGGCGGCUGAAUGAUUCCAGUAUAGAACAUGAUAUACACAAUCUCGGAGGUUCAAUUGGACUCACCAUUGAGAUAAGUAAGCUUUCGGAAGGUUUUGGAACGGCAGUGGCGGAACUUCAGGAACAAGAAAACUAAAUGGAAAAGACAUCACUAUUCAACCGCGAUACAAAGGAAAAGCAUCUUGCAGAUAAACCCAACCUGUGUUAAUUGGCAGGGAGUGGAAGGAUCUUGUGAAAUUUCCGACUGCUGAAGAGCAUCAGUUAUCUUCACUUAGUAAUUUUCUUCUUUACAUUCAUGUCCAAUGUAUUCUGACUUGCGACCGCAAUAUCAAAAGCAGAAGCCAUCAAAAAGCAAGGGCACUAUGGGGAGGAAAAACUUUUCUCAAUGUGGAUC